UACGAAGGGGCUAGCGUUGCUCGGAAUCACUGGGCGUAAAGCGCACGUAGGCGGAUCUUUAAGUCAGGGGUGAAAUCCCAAGGCUCAACCUUGGAACUGCCUUGAUACUGGGAUCUCGAGUCCGGAAGAGGUUGGUGGAACUGCGAGUGUAGAGGUGAAAUUCGUAGAUAUUCGCAAGAACACCAGUGGCGAAGGCGGCCAACUGGUCCGGUACUGACGCUGAGGU
rnacentral:rRNA from 1 species